rnacentral:lncRNA from 1 species
ACAUUUGUUCACGUGUCUGGAGCUGCUGGAGUAGCAUGGUGGCGCAAGCACGACGAAGAUGUACCGAGGAGAGAACGUGAACAGUGUUUUUUCUGUCUGAACCAAUGAUGAACGCUACGGCUACUACAAAAAUGUGGUCAAGGGAAAUUAUGGAGGAGAACUGCGGUUGAAAUAUGAUUCAUUGAAUGGCUCUAUGCACCUACAGAUCCUUCAAAAACAAGGGAACAACAGUACAUUAGGCAUCUUUAUAGAGGCCACAUGAGGAUGUUGUUGAGAUGGGCUGAGAGGUCAGUGCACUGUUUUGUGAAUUUCCUAAAUGUUCCAGGAUGUCAGUUUUUACAGAGGAAGCUCUCACAAGCCGAUGACACCUUUAUGAUUCACUGAAUAGCCAGUUGUGGCAAUCUGAGCUUUUACAUUACAGUACUACAUCAAACCCCUGUGGGUUUCCCCGUCCUUCACUCCAGGUCACACAGUGCACAUCAAAGAGCAGACAUACAGACGGGAGAUGAGAUCAAACACUAGUGGGACAGAGGUCAGUAUACUUUACCUUUACUUUACUUUUUUAAAUGCAGAAAAUUCAUAGUCAUCAGAUCAUUGUUCUUUCCACACUACAUGAAUGUCUGUGCUAUUUAUUUCCAGUUGUGGGCAUGUUAAACAACAGAUCUGAAUAUGGAGCUCCCAUAUUACACAACAUUGAAAAUCGAUUGAGAUGUCAUUUCUUGUCGAUAUCACACACCCUUACUAUCGAGAACUACAUAUUAGGUGUAAAACGGGGCUGUGUGUAUCUGACAUUAGGGUACGUGCAAAGUUUGGCCUUCCAAAGUAUAUUCCAGUUGAUAGCUUGAAAAAACACAGGUGCUCGACACAUUGAAGAUUCAUCCACUGAGCCUUUUCUCUCCAAAGUUAAAGGGAUAGUUCUCCUAAAGGUGAAAAUGUACAGUUAAUUUACUCAUCCUCAAGCCACAAAAGAUGUAGAUGACUUUUUUCUAUUUUUUGUAUAACAGUAAAUAAGUAAAUACAUUUUUUGCUAAACCCUUGAUGCUUCGUAUAAUGCAAGCCAAUGGUCACCCAUUUUUGAGAUUAUAAAUAAACAUACAAGUAAGUUCAAAU